CUAUAUGCUAUACUACAAAAUCGAGAUAUAAAUAUAUUACUACCAUUAAAGUAUUUGUAAGUAUUUAAAAAUAUACUUCAAACUGAAUUGAUCACAAAAUCAAAAAGUUAAAAUCAGAUCUCCAUAUGUCGAUCAUUUAAAAUCAAUGAAAACCAUUACUUGUAAUUUCCUAUUAUCAAUAUGUAUACGUGCCUCUACCUUAUUCUCCUCACUCGUUAACAAUUUCGCUUUUAUCGAGAGCUAACCAUUACAAGUUACACGUGAGAAUUACACGUUGCACGCGAUCGACUACACGAAUAUCGAACAGCUCGAAUCGCCAUCAACGAAUAAAAUGAUCAUCUUCUACGAGGUUUUUCAAACAACGCAUCGAUCAAACCGGUAUUAAAUAUGGUUCGUACCACAUUACCCAACGUGCACGCGAAUAUCCUCUUAACACGCAGAUCGAGAACAACCAUCUGUAUCACUAAUCGACUAAUAUACGUGUCAAUAUUCGAUUAACGUACGUAGUUGCAUCUCGAACAUAUUCUGAAUCACUUGGUAGAACAACGAUACGAGCUUGCCUCGUAUUUGCAUACGAAAGUGUAUGUUUCUUACGUGUAACAACAUCGAUUCACGAAUGCGAUAAAACGAAAAUCGCACGAGCCUCAGAACGAAUCACGCGUGAAGCAACAGUGAAAAUUUAGAAAGUUUGGAAUAUCGUGUUUGUUAUCUAAUCGAGAUUUAAGGGGUACCAAUGAAAUGUACGAAGAAAAUCCCGUUGUAUCUCUGAUAGGAGAGGAACGAUAAUCACGAACGAUAGAGGAACGAUAAAAUAAAAAAUAAUGUCUUAUGAAAUGGAUAAGAAAUUUGGUGAAAGUGUUUUGAGAGAAGAAAGAAGAGAAGUUUAUGAUAAACGGUUUUAUCGAGCGAGGAGUCAUCAUCGCGAUAAGGAAAUGAGCAGUGGCUCGGGCAAGAUAUAUGCAUAGAUAAGGUAUACGAUAGAUCUAUCAGCCAAUGUAUUUCUUCGUCCUUUGUCUCGGGCGGUAGCAAACUUUCUUAUCAUUCUAGUGUCGUUUCCAAUGUUACCGAUUCAGUAUAGAAUAAGAUCGCGACAUUAGUAGUGGUUGGAAUUAAAACUAAAUGUUACUGUGAAAAUAAGGGUAAAAAGAGGUACAAAAUAGUGUUUGUGAAACGAUUAGAAAGAAAUAUAUUUAUACUCGAUUAAAGGGCAAGUUGUACAAGUAGUUAUGAAUUUGCAGAAACUCGGAUAAAAUUUUCUAUUCUCCGAAUAAUAUCAUUUCUCGCAUAGAUUAUUACAACGUUCCAAGAGUACAUAUUUUAUUUCUAUCUUUCGUAUAUUACGUCAGUCCCUCGACUUAUAACAUAAGUCUCAUCUUUUGGUAAUGGUAAAAUCCCAAACCUUACCUUUGUUAACGUUACAACUAUCCUCAAGCUAGCAUCAGUGCAUUUAAUACUCUUGAAUCUAUCGUUCAAUAUUAUCACAUAAUUUCGACUCGAUCUUCGUUAUUUCGAAAGAAAAAUAUUCCAGAUGAAAUGCAAAUUCCAGAGUCAUGUACAUACAUCUUCUUGGGCCGUCGCACGUAGGAAAUCUUAACGAACCGAAUGAAACGAAUGAAUUAAAAUCCAUGACAUACUAAAAGAAAAAUAUUCCAGGUUAAACGUAAAUUGCAAUGUUAUCUAUGCCCUUGAUCCACAUAUGUCCUAAUUUCUUUUCCAAUACAUAAUGCCAUUUUUCUAUACGAGGUCUAAAUUCAUUUUUCCAGUUACCCUUAGCUAUUUCUUUGCAAUUCUAAACGAUAAAGCAAAAGAGCAACAGCUAAACAUCGCGAAGUAAAAUUAUCUUGCGAAAAUAUUUAUAUAAAAUUCUAAAAUCCUCGAUAAAAUUGAAAAAUCGAUCUCCAUUCUUUCACCUUCCCUCUUCUCCUCUUCAAAGCCAGCCGCGAAACAAUUCUCAGCAACAAAUCAUCUGAAAUUGAAUCAAAGAGAAUCAAAAGGCUUCAUCGCGUUCGAAUCUGAGAGAUGCAACGAGAAGGAAAUCGCCGAGAGGCGUGCAAGAUUUGCACACGCGGGCAAUAAAAUAGUAUCGAUCAGUCGAUGAGAACAAUGGAGGAGGCUGGCAAGAAUUCAAAAGUUUGCCAGCAAGUAUCGUUCUGUUUCCAGGAAGCCGUUCGAUGGAAGGGGUUUUCGACCCUAUUCCAGCCUCGUGCUGCCGGUUGCGGACCAGCGGCCACCGCGUGUAUCGACUAACGUCGGUGUAUUGACUAAUGACUGGUAGGCUGUUGCAAGUAGUACCACUCCGUGUCAGGACGGACACACUCGAGUCUCGCGACCAUAUUAAUGGCGCGCGACCGCCGCGAACACAGGGGUUAAGGCGCAUUUAUGUAACACGUAGGCGAGGAGUUCCUUCGACGUCGCGCGACCUACAUUUCCUGACCAAUGUCUGGGAAAAACGGGGUCAUGAACGCGAACGAUACGCUGGCAACCGUUUGCGGAAAAAGCCUAUUCUUAAUUUUGCCAAUAUGACGAUGCCUCGUUCUGGUGUUCGUAAGAUUUCAAAAAGUUUCGUACGAUACACAUAACAUAUAUUUAUAAAAGUUUUCUAUGGUAAAUAUCCACGAUACUUUUACGAAUCAUUGUACGUUGGCGGAAGUAAUCAUUUCCGAACAAAUAGUCGAACGUUUUUUACAAUAGUUCGUCUUUUACUCGAAGAUGAGAUAUUUUGUUUUCGUAGAUAAAAUUCUUCGAAAUUCUCUUCCUUGUUUCGUAGAGUUCGCGAGAGAUACUCGUUAAAAAAUCGUUAUUAUUAACGUAUUAAAAUAUAGAGCAAAAACUAUCGAGUACAAAAAAGCUAGACCAUAUAGUAUAUAAUUGAGAAUAAUACAAAAUCUUUCGUGCAUAUACGAUCGAUGUUGAUCGAUGAAUCUUCUCGAUAACAACAAACAAUGUAGAAAGAAAAUCACAGGAUUGGAAUGAAUAUCAUAACGAAUAAAUUAGAAUCACCUUUAAAGUCACUGUUCGAUAAUUAACAUCUGCAUUAGUAAUUGCAUGGCACUUCGUUUUAUUAAAAAGAAACGUGUAACGAACGUAGAAGCACACAAAUAUACAAGUCCUCGUUAAUUUGAGCGAAUUUCGCAAUCAAAAUCUCAAUAAUCGCGUAAUCGAUGCUUGUUAAGGAUAUUGGAAUAAAUGAAUACAAAGCGUUAUACCGAGUCGUAUAUCGAGUGAAAUUUGCGAUAUCUACGAUCUCGCCAUUUAUUAUUGGAAUAUCAUCUUACUAUUCUAUGGCGCUAGGACAAUAAUCGUUAAUAUUGUACCGUUAUCGUCGAAUUCGUAUCACGACGUAUGUAGUACACCUGUCAUUGCGCUCGGACAACUAGAAUCGCACCGUAGAAUCCACCGUGAUUCGAGUUUCCUGCGUCCUGAUCGCAAGUUAUCAACGCAUGCAGGAUGAAAGCACGCGAAAUUAAACGCUUCAUUAACAACACGCACGAUCGCAACAUCUUCUCCUUUUUGUUUAACGAAAGCGCUCGUUGA